rnacentral:rRNA from 1 species
AGAGUUUGAUCCUGGCUCAGGAUGAACGCCGGCGGUGUGCCUAAUACAUGCAAGUCGUACGCUGGCCCAACUGAUUGAUGGUGCUUGCACCUGAUUGACGAUGGAUCACCAGUGAGUGGCGGACGGGUGAGUAACACGUAGGUAACCUGCCCCGGAGCGGGGAUAACAUUUGGAAACAGAUGCUAAUACCGCAUAACAACAAAAGCACAUGGCUUUUGUUUGAAAGAUGGCUUUGGCUAUCACUCUGGGAUGGACCUGCGGUGCAUUAGCUAGUUGGUAAGGUAACGGCUUACCAAGGCGAUGAUGCAUAGCCGAGUUGAGAGACUGAUCGGCCACAAUGGAACUGAGACACGGUCCAUACUCCUACGGGAGGCAGCAGUAGGGAAUCUUCCACAAUGGGCGCAAGCCUGAUGGAGCAACACCGCGUGAGUGAAGAAGGGUUUCGGCUCGUAAAGCUCUGUUGUUGGAGAAGAACGUGCGUGAGAGUAACUGUUCACGUGACGGUAUCCAACCAGAAAGUCACGGCUAACUACGUGCCAGCAGCCGCGGUAAUACGUAGGUGGCAAGCGUUAUCCGGAUUUAUUGGGCGUAAAGCGAGCGCAGGCGGUUGCUUAGGUCUGAUGUGAAAGCCUUCGGCUUAACCGAAGAAGUGCAUCGGAAACCGGGCGACUUGAGUGCAGAAGAGGACAGUGGAACUCCAUGUGUAGCGGUGGAAUGCGUAGAUAUAUGGAAGAACACCAGUGGCGAAGGCGGCUGUCUGGUCUGCAACUGACGCUGAGGCUCGAAAGCAUGGGUAGCGAACAGGAUUAGAUACCCUGGUAGUCCAUGCCGUAAACGAUGAGUGCUAGGUGUUGGAGGGUUUCCGCCCUUCAGUGCCGGAGCUAACGCAUUAAGCACUCCGCCUGGGGAGUACGACCGCAAGGUUGAAACUCAAAGGAAUUGACGGGGGCCCGCACAAGCGGUGGAGCAUGUGGUUUAAUUCGAAGCUACGCGAAGAACCUUACCAGGUCUUGACAUCUUGCGCUAACCUUAGAGAUAAGGCGUUCCCUUCGGGGACGCAAUGACAGGUGGUGCAUGGUCGUCGUCAGCUCGUGUCGUGAGAUGUUGGGUUAAGUCCCGCAACGAGCGCAACCCUUGUUACUAGUUGCCAGCAUUAAGUUGGGCACUCUAGUGAGACUGCCGGUGACAAACCGGAGGAAGGUGGGGACGACGUCAGAUCAUCAUGCCCCUUAUGACCUGGGCUACACACGUGCUACAAUGGACGGUACAACGAGUCGCAAGCUCGCGAGAGUAAGCUAAUCUCUUAAAGCCGUUCUCAGUUCGGACUGUAGGCUGCAACUCGCCUACACACGAAGUCGGAAUCGCUAGUAAUCGCGGAUCAUGCCGGGGGCCUUGUACACACCGCCCGUCACACCAUGGGAGUUUGUAACGCCCAAAGUCGGUGGCCUAACCUUUAUGGAGGGAGCCGCCUAAGGCGGACAGAUGACUGGGGUGAAGUCGUAACAAGGUAGCCGUAGGAGAACCUGCGGCUG